rnacentral:rRNA from 1 species
GAUGAACGCUGGCGGCGUGCUUAACACAUGCAAGUCGAACGGGGUGCUCAUGACGGAGGAUUCGUCCAAUGGAUUGAGUUACCUAGUGGCGGACGGGUGAGUAACGCGUGAGGAACCUGCCUUGGAGAGGGGGAUAACACUCCGAAAGGAGUGCUAAUACCGCAUGAUGCAGUUGGGUCGCAUGGCUCUGACUGCCAAAGAUUUAUCGCUCUGAGAUGGCCUCGCGUCUGAUUAGCUAGUAGGCGGGGUAACGGCCCACCUAGGCGACGAUCAGUAGCCGACCUGAGAGGGUGAUCGGGCCACACUGGGACUGAGACACGGGCCCAGACUCCUACGGGGAGGCAGCAGUAGGGAAUCUUCGGCAA